rnacentral:rRNA from 1 species
UACGUAGGGGGCAAGCGUUGUCCGGAAUUAUUGGGCGUAAAGAGCGCGUAGGCGGUCCGAUAAGUCGGCUGUGAAAGUCAGGGGCUCAACCCUUGGAAGCCGGCCGAUACUGUCGGACUAGAGUCCGGAAGAGGCGAGUGGAAUUCCCGGUGUAGCGGUGAAAUGCGCAGAUAUCGGAAGGAACACCCAAGGCGAAAGCACUCUGCUGGGCCGACACUGACGCUGAGGUGCGAAAGCGUGGGGAGCAAACAGG